rnacentral:siRNA from 1 species
AUUGGGCAGGGCCGCCGCGGCUCU